rfam:Planctomycetes bacterium RBG_16_55_9 RBG_16_scaffold_56629, whole genome shotgun sequence.
GCGGAUGUGGCGGAAUUGGCAGACGCGCAGGCUUCAGGUGCCUGUUCCCUUACGGGAGUGGAGGUUCGACUCCUCUCAUCCGCA